UGAUGGUGGCUCAGAUUGAACGCUGGCGGCAGGCCUAACACAUGCAAGUCGAACGCGAAAGCACUUCGGUGUGAGUAGAGUGGCGGACGGGUGAGUAACGCGUGGGAAUCUACCUAGUAGUGGAGGAUAACUCGGGGAAACUCGAGCUAAUACUGCAUACGCCCUACGGGGGAAAGCGGGGGAUCUUCGGACCUCGCGCUAUUGGAUGAGCCCGCGUUAGAUUAGCUUGUUGGUGAGGUAAUGGCUCACCAAGGCGACGAUCUAUAGCUGGUCUGAGAGGAUGAUCAGCCACAUUGGGACUGAGACACGGCCCAAACUCCUACGGGAGGCAGCAGUGGGGAAUAUUGCGCAAUGGGCGAAAGCGUGACCCAGCCAUGCCGCGUGUGUGAAGAAGGCCUUCGGGUUGUAAAGCACUUUCAAUAGGGAGGAAAGGUUGUAGCUUAAUACGCUGCAACUGUGACGUUACCUAUAGAAGAAGCACCGGCUAACUCCGUGCCAGCAGCCGCGGUAAUACGGAGGGUGCGAGCGUUAAUCGGAAUUACUGGGCGUAAAGCGCGCGUAGGCGGCUUCGUCAGUCAGAUGUGAAAGCCCCGGGCUCAACCUGGGAACUGCAUUUGAUACUGCGGAGCUAGAGUAUGGUAGAGGAUAGUGGAAUUCCAGGUGUAGCGGUGAAAUGCGUAGAUAUCUGGAGGAACAUCAGUGGCGAAGGCGACUGUCUGGACCAAUACUGACGCUGAGGUGCGAAAGCGUGGGGAGCAAACAGGAUUAGAUACCCUGGUAGUCCACGCCGUAAACGAUGUCUACUA
rnacentral:rRNA from 1 species